rnacentral:pre_miRNA from 14 species
CUACAAAUCAAUUUUAUGUGCCUGUCCAGUGCCCUUUUUAUGUUGUACUACUAGUGGUCACACACAAAAAAAGCAGUGCAAUGUUAAAAGGGCAUUGGCCAGGGCUACUGGCCACAUUCUGACUG